rnacentral:lncRNA from 1 species
GGCAGAAUCAAACUACAGCCAACUUAUGGUGAGGAGCUCUUCAAACCAUUACUGAAAUUGCCAUUAAGAUACACCUGCUGCACAAGAGAACUAGAUUUGGUCAUCCUGAGUAUGGUGGUGAUAUCUUCCUCAGUGAGAAAGAAAUUACAAGAACAGAAGUCAGUUGGGUGCCUGUGAAGCACUGGUGAGAUUAGACUAUGCAGAGAGGAAAACUCGGGAAGAUUCUGCGGCUAAACACAUUAAAAUUGCAUUAUGUGUCUUGCUCCAUGCUACUCCAUGUCCAAACAGCUUUCUCAAGUACUUUUUUCCACUGGAUUUCUGCCUUUUCUUCCCCCACCUUCACCUCAUGAAGUUCUGUGCAUCAUUCAAGGUCAAUUUCUAGCAUCAGGCCCUUCAAGAUCUUGCUCACAUGGGAUUGUAAUACCAUUGAAAUUAAAGCAGAGAGAUGCAUUUAGGAAAUCUCCUGUCUUAAAAUGCUUCACAGAACUCCAAUCAAUGAACUUGCAUCCAAAUUUACACAGAAAAUAGAAGUCAUCUGAUUGGAACUUUUCAUCUGAAUAGUAUCUACAUCUGGAUCCAUCCUCAUAUUUUCAUUUCAUAAAAGUAAGCUUCCAUCCAUGUUUUUUUCUUCUUUUUUACAGUGAUGAUGGUCAUGUUGAUAAAUACAGUUUAUUUGGCACUUGGAGUGUUCAAGAUUAUUCUCACUUUUUUUUUUUUUAGGAAACUUACAUGAUCUCUCAUAUAAUUAUACACACUCAACACAAUUAGCUUUUGAAUGUUCUCAUUUACCUCUCAUAAAAAAUAAAAUACAAUCCUCAUUUAAAUCCA